AUGCUAUACCUGAAAUUUCAUUUGCUUUCAGAAGUCAUCAAGUUGCAGCUGAAACACUUUGGUUUUGCAAAAACUGAUUGGCCGAGCUUCAGUUAGGAUGACCGGUCGUGUUUCAGGGGCACGAAUACUGGCAUUGUUUCUGGUGUAGUUUUUUUAAACUUGAGCUUCGAUUUUUGCAAGUUGAACCUGCUCUUCCACGUGUUCGUCAAUCUAUCUGAUUAGGAAUGUCGCUAAUCAAGCAGGCACAUUAUAUCUAAUGCAUUUGAGGCUUUUGCUUUACAUGGUUGAAAUUAUUGCUUUUAGUCAAAUAUUUCAUGUUCAUUCUCUUAAAACUUUAUGUUGACAGGUUGGUUUUAAAUGACUGGUGCAUUACAUCUAUAGCUCUGCAGAAAGCUCUGCUUCACAAAGUUAACUUCAUUUUCAGAUCCCCUGAACUCAGUGAUCUCUACUUCUUGGAGAUAGAAAUUACUAAUCAUGGUUCAUCUUGGUGUUGUUUGGUGGCUGUGGGAGGCAUGGGGGAGUUCUUAUGUUGAGAAUCGUCGAGCUGAUAUAUGAGUUCAGAAAAAGACAGUUGCUAAAUGACAUUGGAGAGGAGGAAAAAUAGUAUGCCUUGUGCUGCCACGGUCAGAAGCGGGCUAUUGCAUGAUAGGAUUUUUCACUCCCCAAGCUCACUGAUCUUGUAAGGAUACUAUGGUGAAAUCGAAUACACGACGUCUUUUUCCUUC